AGUGAACGCUGGCGGUAGGCCUAACACAUGCAAGUCGAACGGCAGCACAGUAAGAGCUUGCUCUUACGGGUGGCGAGUGGCGGACAGGUGGGGGGUACACCGCAAUGUACUUUGUCGUGGGGGUGAACGUAGGGAAACUUACGCGAAUACCACAUACGACCUACGUGUUGAAUCAAGAGUUCUUCCGACCUUGCGCGAUUGCACGAGCCUAUGUCGGAUUAGCGAGGUGGCGGGGUAAAGGCGCACCGAGGCGACGAUCCGCAGCUGGUCUGAGAGGGUGAUCCGCCACACUGGAACUGGGACACGGUCUAGACUCCUACGUGCGGCAGCGGUGCGGACUGUUGGCCACUGGGGGGAAGCUUGAUCCAGCCGUACCGCGUGGGUGCAGCAGGCCUUCGUGUUGUAAAGCCCUUUUGUUGGGAAAGAAGAGCAGCACGUGAAACGCCGGUUGUUGUGACGGUACCUAAAGAAUAAGCACCGGCUAACUUCGUG
rnacentral:rRNA from 1 species